rnacentral:rRNA from 1 species
AUGGCUUCCAUGACCCCCAUCCUCUUGCGCUGCUCCCUGCUACUUCUCCUCCUUGUCCAGUCCACGCACUCCUCCGUAACCCCGAAGCCUAAGAACGCCAUUGCCGAGGAGCACGAGCAGGCUCAUCCUUCCAGCUCGAGCACCUACAUCGUCCUCACCAACCACCUCGCCAAGCCAUCCAAGUUCGACACCCUCGAUCGCUGGUACGCGUCCAUGCUGGGCAAGAACUCCAACCGCAUCCGCUACACCUACGGCACUGUCAUGCAUGGUUUUUCCGUUCGUCUCACGGACGGCGAGGCCCAGCGCAUGGCCACCGUCCCCGGCGUGUCCCGCGUGUACAAGGACAGGCUGUACCACAUCCAUACCACGAGGUCGCCGUGGUUCAUGGGCCUCCACGACGACUUCGGCGCGUGGCCGGACGCCGAGUUCGGCGACGGCGUCAUCAUCGGCUUGGUGGACACCGGCAUCUGGCCGGAGCGCGCUAGCUUCAGCGACGCCGGGCUCAGCCCCGUCAGGUCCACCUGGAGGGGCAAGUGCGUGGACGCCCCUGGGUUCAACGCCAGCUUGUGCAACAACAAGCUCGUCGGCGCCAAGUCCUUCGUCACAGCCGAUUCGAGUCCGAGGGACGUCGAGGGGCAUGGAACGCACGUGGCGUCAACGAGUUAA